rnacentral:misc_RNA from 1 species
UACGAACUGUGCAAACGUUAUUCGGAAUCACUGGGCUUAAAGAGUCCGUAGGCGGCUCGGCAGGUGAGGUGUGAAAUCCCACGGCUCAACCGUGGAAUUGCGCUUCAAACCGCCGCGCUAGAGGGAGAUAGAGGAGAGCGGAACUGAUGGUGGAGCGGUGAAAUGCGUUGAUAUCAUCAGGAACACCGGUGGCGAAAGCGGCUCUCUGGGUCUCUUCUGACGCUGAGGAACGAAAGCUAGGGGAGCGAAAGGG